rnacentral:lncRNA from 1 species
GCAGAUAUUUUUUCAUAUGUGUCACAACAGAUUAAUUAAUUCAACAACUAUUCAGUGACUCCUACCAUAUUUUAGGCAUUAUUUUAGAUUCUGUUUUUUGUAAUGACCAAGAUAGCAUGUUCCCUGCCCUCAAGAAGCUCACAUUCUGUUUGGGAAGGCAGUCACACAACCUGAGAAGCUCAAUAAAAGUCUGUAUCUGAUGAAUUUGAUGGCAUUUGCAAUAUAGUGUAUUGAUGUGAAAAUGGAACACAGGAGAGGAGAAGAAAGUGAAAUUGACUGGAAAUGAGUGGUCAUAGAAAAAACAGAACACCGGGAGAGUGGGCUCUUUGUGUGUGUGUGAACAUGCUCCUUGAACUUGACAAUUCCAACUGUAUCUCUGUAGUAUAAUUUGAAGUAAGGUAAUGUGCUUCCUCCAGUUUUGUUCUUUUUGCUUAGGAUAGCUUUGGCUAUU